rnacentral:rRNA from 1 species
GAUGAACGCUGGCGGCGUGCUUAACACAUGCAAGCCGAACGGACGGAAUGGAGCUUGCUCCAUGAAGUUAGUGGCGGACGGGUGAGUAACGCGUGGGUAACCUGCCCUAUGCAGGGGGAUAACGUUUGGAAACGAACGCUAAUACCGCAUAACCUAGUUGAUUCGCAUGAAUCGACUAGCAAAGAUUUAUCGGCAUAGGAUGGACCCGCGUUGGAUUAGCUAGUUGGUGAGAUAACAGCCCACCAAGGCGACGAUCCAUAGCCGGCCUGAGAGGGUGAACGGCCACACUGGGACUGAGACACGGCCCAGACUCCUACGGGAGGCAGCAGUGGGGAAUAUUGCACAAUGGGCGCAAGCCUGAUGCAGCGACGCCGCGUGAAGGAUGAAGGUCUUCGGAUUGUAAACUUCUAUCAGCAGGGAGGAACCAAUGACGGUACCUGACUAAGAAGCCCCGGCUAACUACGUGCCAGCAGCCGCGGUAAUACGUAGGGGGCAAGCGUUAUCCGGAAUUACUGGGUGUAAAGGGUGCGUAGGUGGCAUGGUAAGUCAGAUGUGAAAACUUGGGGCUCAACUUCAAGAUUGCAUCUGAAACUGCUAAGCUAGAGUGCAGGAGAGGAAAGCGGAAUUCCNAGUGUAGCGGUGAAAUGCGUAGAGAUUCG